UACAGAGGUCUCAAGCGUUGUUCGGAUUCAUUGGGCGUAAAGGGUGCGUAGGCGGCGCGGUAAGUCGGGUGUGAAAUCUCGGGGCUUAACUCCGAAACUGCAUUCGAUACUGCCGUGCUUGAGGACUGGAGAGGAGACUGGAAUUUACGGUGUAGCGGUGAAAUGCGUAGAUAUCGUAAGGAAGACCAAUGGCGAAGGCAGCUCUCUGGGACGGUACUGACGCUGAGACGCGAAAGCGUGGGGAGCGAACAGG
rnacentral:rRNA from 1 species